CUCCUGUGCUGGUAACUUUGGAGGGUGACACCUGACUUCUCUUGUACUUCUCUCUCCCAACCUGUUUUUCAACCACACUGCUCACUGACAGUACCAGCUUGUGGCUUUUUUAGUUAAAAAAGGCUGUUUACAAGAAGCCAGUUCAGCUACUGGAUGGGCAGACAUUGUGACAAGGGUGGCUUCUAGCAGCAUGGAGAUGUCUGCCUUGGAGGCACCUGCUCUGCAGCAUGGGUUCUGAGGUCUCUGAGACCCAUGAGGAGGCUUCAGUGCAUCCUCCAACCAUGGCUUCUCGGCACCACAGCACCAGUCUUGCCCUGGACAGUCUGUAGGUUCUGGGGUGCUGCCGAAGGUUGAUGGUGCUGGGCAGCCAUUGAGUGUCCAUGGGCAGCCACACCAGGAAGAAGCAGAUGUUUCUUUGUUCACUGAGGCUCCCACAUCUUCUCUGGUCACUUUUCAGUCUUAUGAACUAUACUGGGGGGAAGAGGAGUGCUAACUUGCUUCCUCAGGCAAGUUUAUUUUUUAUUGUAAUGUUUUGUGAAUAAACAUCCUGUUUAACCUACCGUUUACCCAUUUCUCUUAAAGGUUUUUUGUUCCUGCUUCUUCCCCUUCCACCUCCUUUAGCCAACUGACCUUCAUUCCCAAACUACACCUCAGGCUUGAAAUUGGUCUAGCACUGGCCUUGAGAUUCCCACAGACACGGGUGUUUGAAACUGCACUCGGGUUUUAACUCCACAGUAUGGCUCCAUCUCCAGGUCCAACAUUAGGAUUUACAAAAUAAGAGGCAGUAAGGCCACCUUCAUGUGAGCGGAAAGGUCAAUUUCUUUCUAGUGAUGCCACUUCUUAUUUGAAAGAUCUAUUUCCCAGGAACAGGUUAAGGGAGACAGGUCACUGUCUCCACUAGGAAGAGAUAAAAGGCCACAGUCAAAUAUAAAAACAAGUUCUGAAGAAUUAUUGAAAUAAAGUCACAGCUUUGAAAGUAUCAGUUCAGGCUGAGUAUUGCCAGAUUGGCAAGAAAAUGCUAUUCAGGCUCUUUUCUUGUGAAAUGGAGGCAUUUCUAUGGCUGGCAUCUGAUUCAGCAAUUUCACAGCAAUGGAUCUCAUGCAAUUUAUCUAUGGGUUUUGAGCAUUCAAUUUCAGUCACUCCUAAAGAAUGCCAUCAUGAGUUUAUUAUGCAGUUGAUAGUAUUUCUCUGUGAACACAGGAGAAGGAAACUCUUUUGGAUGGCAAGAAAGUGUACGAAUUUAGGAUUAGUGUUAGAAUCCACAGAACGAUAUAUAAAGAUGUAUAUACAUAAACAUGUAUUUGGACUGUACUGCUUACUUUGUUAAUAUUGACUUGUGUUUUGAUUACUGGGAUGAUUCUCAUUCACAUUUAACUGCUGGCUCCCCAUAGAACGAGCAGGAAACCUUCCUCGGGAAUACAGAACGGAGGUAGGACACCUUA